rnacentral:rRNA from 1 species
AGAGUUUGAUCCUGGCUCAGGAUGAACGCUAGCGGCGUGGAUAAGGCAUGCAAGUCGAGGGACCACCUUCGGGUGGGACCGGCAGACGGGUCAGUAACACGUGGAUUACCUACCUUAAAGUCAGGGAUAACCCCAAGAAAUUGGGGCUAAUACCUGAUAGUUCCCGCAAGGGUAAAGAUUUAUCGCUUUAAGAUGGGUCCGCGGCUUAUCAGCUUGUUGGUAAGGUAAUGGCUUACCAAGGCUAUGACGGGUAGGCGGGGUGAGAGCCCGACCGCCGACAAUGGGAUUGAGAACGGCCCAUACUCCUACGGGAGGCAGCAGUCGAGAAUCCUUCGCAAUGUGCGAAAGCAUGACGAGGCGACGCCGCGUGGAAGAUGAAGCCCUGCGGGGUGUAAAUUCCUUUUAUAGGGGAAGAACUUUUGUGACGGUACCUUAUGAAUAAGGGGCUACUAAUCACGUGCCAGCAGUAGCGGUAAUACGUGAGCCCCGAGCGUUAUCCGGAUUUACUGGGCGUAAAGAGUUCGUAGGCGCUCUAUCAAGUUUUCUGUUAAAUCUCUAGGGCCCAACCUUAGAGCUGCAGAAAAAACUGAUAGGGUAGAGGAUGUCAGGGGCUAAUGGAACUCUCGGUGUAGGGGUGGAAUCCGUUGAUAUCGAGGGGAACACCAAAAGCGAAGGCAUUUAACUGGGGCAGUCCUGACGCUGAGGAACGAAAGCUAGGGCAUGGAAGAGGAUUAGAUACCCUCGUACUCCUAGCUGUAAAUGAUGGAUACUAGCUAUUGGAAGUGUCGACCCUUUCAGUGGCGAAGCUAACGCGUUAAGUAUCCCGCCUGGGUAGUACGGCCGCAAGGCUGAAACUCAAAGGAAUAGACGGGGAUCCACACAAGCGGUGGACCACGUGGCUUAAUUCGACGAUAAGCGAGGAACCUUACCAGGGCUUGACAUACUAGUGAAACCCCGUAGAAACACGGGGCCACUCACAAGGACAAUAGUACAGGUGCUGCAUGGUUGUUGUCAGCAUGUGCUUUGAAGUGCUCCCUUAAAUGGGGUAACAUGCGCAACCCCUAUCCUGUGUUACAAGUGUCACAGGAGACCGCCCCGCCCUCUGUGUAUAUGUUUAUUACAUAUGCUUAGAGGGCGGGGAGGAAGGUGGGGAUGACACCAAAUCAGCAUGGCCCUUUGACGCCCUGGGCUGCACACGUGGUACAAUGGUUGGUACAGCGGGUUGCCAAGUCGUAAGACGGAGCUAAUCCCUUAAAGCCAAUCUUAGUUCGGAUCGAGGGCUGCAACUCGCCCUCGUGAAGCCGGAAUCGCUAGUAAUCGCAGAUCAGCCACGCUGCGAUGAAUAUGUUCCUGGAUCUUGUACUCACCGCCCGUCACACCAAGAGAGCUGAUAGUACCCGAAGUUCCGCUUUUGCGGACCUAAGGUAAGGUCAGUAAUAAUGGUGAAGUCGUUGAUUCAAUCU